UAUGUGAUCGUCUCUCGCAUAUCAAUAAGCGGAGGAAAAGAAACUAACAAGGAUUCCCCUAGUAACGGCGAGUGAAGCGGGAAGAGCUCAAAUUUGAAAUCUUAAAGGGUUUCCCUUGACGAAUUGUAGUUUAAAGAAGUGUUUUCUGUUGAAGUUUUGGUAAAAGUUCUUUGGAAUAGGACAUCAUAGAGGGUGAGAAUCCCGUAUUUGACCUUUACUUUCAACUUUGUGAUACACUUUCAAAGAGUCGGAUUGUUUGGGAAUGCAGUCCAAAAUGGGUGGUAAAUUUCAUCUAAAGCUAAAUAUUGGCGAGAGACCGAUAGCGAACAAGUACCGUGAGGGAAAGAUGAAAGGAACUUUGAAAAGAGAGUUAAACAGUACGUGAAAUUGUCAAAAGGGAAGCGUUUGACACCAGUGUUGUUUUUCUGAAAAUCAAUUAAAGAACUGUUUAUGCUAAGUUGUUUAGACUUUAUCAGCUAACUGUUUAGUUUUGAGCUUUUCUUUAAUGCACUUUUCAGUUAACAAGUCAACAUCAAUUUCUUUUGCUGUAAAAAAGCUUGAGGAAGGUGGCUUGAGAUUCGUCUUAAGUGUUUAUAGCCUCUUGCCUAUGCAGUCGGAGAGAUUGAGGUCUGCAGCGUAGAUCCUUCGGGGCUAAAUGCAUUUGUGCUAAGUUAUAGCAUUUUAUAGACAACUUGUUGACUAUGAUUUGUCUUGUAGCUUACUCGCUUAUGUUAUUUUACCUACGCUUAGGAUGUUGAGUCAUCACACAUCUCU
rnacentral:rRNA from 1 species